rnacentral:rRNA from 1 species
GCUGGCGGCACGCCUAACACAUGCAAGUCGAACGAAGUAGCAAUACUUAGUGGCAGACGGGUGAGUAACAUGUAGGUAUCUGCCCUUUGGCCUGGAAUAACACGAGGAAACUUGUGCUAAUACCGGAUAAGUCUUUACGGAGAAAGCUUUAUGCACCAUUGGAUGAGCCUGCACUUGAUUAGUUUGUUGGUGGGGUAAUGGCCUACCAAGACUGUGAUCAAUAGCUGAUUUGAGAGGAUGAUCAGCCACAUUGGGACUGAGACACGGCCCAAACUCCUACGGGAGACAGCAGUGGGGAAUCUUGCACAAUGGAGGAAACUCUGAUGCAGCGAUGCCGCGUGAGUGAAGAAGGCCCUUGGGUUGUAAAGCUCUUUCGUCGGGGAAGAAAAUGACUGUACCCGAAUAAGAAGGUCCGGC